rnacentral:rRNA from 1 species
CCCUUAGAUGUUCUGGGCUGCACGCGCGCUACACUGAUGUGUCCAGUAAGCACCUAACCUCUUCCGAAAGGAACGGGUAACCUUUGCAAAGCACAUCGUGAUGGGGAUAGAUUAUUGCAAUUAUUAGUCUUGAACGAGGAAUUCCUAGUAAGCACAAGUCAUCAGCUUGUGUUGAUUACGUCCCUGCCCUUUGUACACACCGCCCGUCGCUCCUACCGAUUGAAUGUUCCGGUGAGCUCUUCGGACUGCGCGGUCUGCAGUUUCUGCGUUCCGUGCGGAAAGUUGCGCAAACCUUAACAUUUAGAGGAGGGAGAAGUCGUAACA